ACUGGUUAAACAUUGUAGAUUUUUCGUGUAUACAAAUUUUUUGUUGAUAGUUUUGGCUCUUCUUCGUCGACUCUCCCUACCAGCUGGAGAUGCCGACUACAACUUCAAUUUUACGAGCUCAGAAAGCGUCUGUUAUCUAUUUGACAAUACAAAUCUUUAGUCAAUGGCUGCUUUUCCAAGUAUCUCUGUAACAUAGCAAUCCCCAUAUGACCUGAUGACCAUAACAUUUGUAUUAUUGUAUUGAAAUGUUAAAGUGUUGUAUCAAGAGGCGUGAUGAUCUAGUCUCCACAGGAUUCUUCUUCAUCAUUGGUUAUUGCUCGCUAAGGAGUCACGUGAGAGUGCGCGUGAUCAACAAGCAAGCACAGCCCUCGCACAUUCAGCUGAGUCGUUGCUCAAACCCAAUUCGGUUACAGCUAAUUUGAAUACAGGUACCAGUCACUGAGUUUCUAUUUGGGGAAGAGUUCCAGGCUCAAAUUAACAACAUCAAAGCAUCCAAUAAGAUUGGAAAGCAAUGGCCUCAUCACGGUCUUCAGGACAGCCUAUUAAAAGCAAAGAGUCUUGGAAACAUCCAUCCAAAAGUGACCAAAGUUCUUUUUUGAGGGAAAGACGUGGGAAGUCGGACCGUUCCCCAUGGAGCAGGUAAGGCCAUGGAGCCCAAUUCGAGAGACAAUGGAAAAAGACCAAACCUGGAGUACACAAGAUAUGGUCAAAACCUUACGUACAUUACAGACAUGGUGUCAGAAGCACAUAUAGAAUUCUCCUCACCCCCUGUGCAAACAAAAUCGCCUAGAGAGCAAUUAUUUACCUGCAAUGAUAGAAUUCUUCUCAAUUUGGAAAUCAACAUUCUAUUUGCUAAACGUGUUAUUGUCCACCAGUAUGGGAUUGGUGUCUAAAUAAUAAGUAUCCUUCCAGAAGUUUAGAAAAAAUUAAAAAAGACAAGACAACAGGACUGCUAAUGAUUCCGAAUUGGCCGACUCAGUCUUGGUGGCCCAAAGUUAUGAGAAUGUUACUCCAGGAGCCAAUUCAGCUGCCAGUGGCAAAGCGUUUUUUGACUCAACCCAGCCAACCAAGCUUGGUUCAUCCACUAUAUCCAAAGCUGGUUCUACUGCUAUGUCAAAUCUCGGGGGGGGGGGAUUCUCCAUAACGGUGGACUUUUAGGCCGGGCUGCCAAAUUGGUCCUGCAGUCUUGAAGAGAAAGUACACAAAAGCAAUACGACCCGUAUAUCAAACGAUGGCACCUAUACUCUGGUGAAAAGCAAGUUCAUACGAUUUCCGCAACUGUAGAAAAUGGAGUGAAUUUUUGUCAGAAUUGUUCCAGACUGGUAUUGGUUGUAGUGCACUUAAUACGGCAAGAAGUGCCCUGUUGUAUUAUAUCGUCCUCCCUGAAUUAAACCAUACAUAUUACAUAUUUUAAAAUGUAAUCACUUAAUCAACUUUCUUUUAUAAAAGGGUUCUUCGGAAUCCAAAUUCGGAAUCAUUUUUUGAAGAAAGUCGCGGUUGGAAGUUGCAAGGAAAUUGAGAAUGGAAGGAAAAAAUGAACGUCAAAAAGAGCGAAAACAGCAAACCAGAUAAAAUGAUGAAUACUAUCAUAUGAAACCGCUAGUUCGCGGGCUCAUACUGAGGUCAAGGGAAAUCCACUGUAGGGAAACCUUUGAAACCAGUUUCGGAACUUCUGCUUAUGCAAACCGAGGAGACCUUUGGGAGAACUCGAGAGCAGAUCAAUGCAAGCCCGAGACCGAAGAUCGUCAAGACGCGAAGCUGGGAAAAAAUUCAGGUCCCGGAUGAAUGUAAACAAAUAUAUUUUUGCCAACUGCUUUCGAGUUUCGACGUAGGUGGCCCAGAAAGAAUCUGUUUGCGUUUUUUCAUUUUUUUCAUGCAAUCGAUUUAUGUAAAUAGUCCUAAAUAUAUUCCAUGAUUCAUGUGCAAUGUUUGUCACGCGCGUUAUCUCGCGUGACUUCCACGUAUAUAUGGUCUUAAAGGUCUUAUAUUUUGACAAGGUUUGCAACCCUCAACAUAGGUGGCCCAAAAAAUCACUUUUAAAUAGUUUAAACAAACGAUAACUCUCACCAUUCCAUCGUAACAGACCGUGCACCGCAAACUUUGUAUAAUUGAUUAUAUAUAUUAUAUAUUUAUCAAAUGUUAGGCAACUAUCAUCGCAGUUACGAAAACAUGCCUUUACAUAAAGUAAUAAUACGUAAAAAACAAACAACAAUUCCAAAUAAUAAUUAUAUCACUUAUUGCGCCUAUUGACCAUCAAUAUCAUAAGCACGCAUGCGCCUUGUUACGUUUUGCUACGAUAAGUUACGAUAGGUGACUAGUGGAAUACAAGCUUUAUAAUGAAGUUGGGGGGCGCGAUAAAAGAGUUAGCAUUGCUAAAGAUCGACUCAUAUUUUGCAAUAAUUAUUUACCAAUUGCUAAGAUAUAAAUAAUCAAUUCUAAGACCACGGCAGUGCUGCAUUGCAUUUCUUGGUUUUAAAAUAAAUGAAAAGUUAAAAUAAAAAGCAGUUGAAGACCUGUGAAUCAAAAGAGGAGGAGUGGAUUGCUUGACGGAAGCAACGCAAAAAGAUGUUGUUUGUUUCAAAGUUGUAGAAUUGCUGUCAUGUGAAGCUCCUGAUGUUGAAUGCAUCACAUCUUUAGCUGGUGUUAUAAAGACAAAAGAAGAUGUUCCUGAAAUGUUGAGUGAUAACGAUAUGUCCAAAAUAUAUUCUGAUGAUGAAAAUUCUGAUGAAGAUGAUUUUGAUCCCAAUUUCACCAGAGGAUUUCUUGACGACUAUUACCGUAUUCGCAAAGACGUCACUGAAAAAUUAAAACAGUCAGUAAAAAUCUACUCAAGACUGAUUUUCUUGGAUAAAUGGAUUUUGCGGGAUAACAUUCAACCCAGAACCACGUUUGUAUGUGACUGUAGUAAAGGAGAGAAAAAAUGAUGAAGAUUCUUUGAAGAAUGAGAUCAACGACAAAUUUGGAUGGAAAGCGUCUGAUUAUAUUGAUUGUCGUCAUGCCAACAGCUCAUUACCGACGUUUCGAUAUUUGUCAAAUCAAGGGUAUGGCUUUCCGCUUCGCAUAUUCCCGGGAUAACAAAUACCCUUGCUGAUAAAGGGUCGCGUAGGGCCUCAGGCUCCAGUGAGUGAGCCCUUGACUCUGCUAUCCUGUCACAGGCAAUACAGUGUGCUCAGUUUACAGUAUCUUUCCAAAAGUUUAAAAAAAUUCAAAAAGAGAAGGCAACAGGACUGCUAGUGAUUCCGAACUGGCCGACUCAGUCUUGGUGGCCCAAAGUGAUGAGAAUGUUACUCCAGGAGCCAAUUCAGCUGCCAGUGGCAAAGCGUUUUUUGACUCAACCCAGCCAACCAAGCUUGGUUCAUCCACUAUAUCCAAAGCUGGUUCUACUGCUAUGUCAAAUCUGGGGGGGGAAUUCUCCAUGAACGUGGACUUUCAGGCCUUGCUGCCAAAUUGGUCCUGCAGUCUUGAAGAGAAAGUACACAAAAGCAAUACGACCCGUAUAUCAAACGAUGGCACCUAUACUCUGGUCAAAAGCAAGUUGAUAAAAUUUCGGCAACUGUAGAAAAUGGAGUGAACUUUUUGUGAGAAUUGUUCCAGACUGAUAUUGCUUAUUGUGCACUUAAUACGGGUUCUUCGGAAUCCAAAUUUGGAAUCACUUUUUAAAGAAAGUCGCGGAUGAAAGUUGCAAGGAAAUUGAGAAUCGAAGGAAAAAAUGUCAAGGGAAAUCCACUGUAGGGAAACCUUUGAAACCAACGAAGUAAUUGAACAAAUAUAGGGAAACCUUUAUCACUAGUGAUUUGUGAACGUUGGGUGGUCGGGUAAGGAUACUUAAAACACAGGAGCCAUAUUUGCUGGGGACGCUUAAAACCUUCAUGAUUUAAGUACUGGGAUACGCAAAACAUGGGGAUACUCAUCACUUUGACAGUGAUUGAGACAUUUAAUUAAAAUACAUCUGGAACGAUAACUUCUAUAGUUUUGUCCCAUGACUGGCUGAAGCUAAAAAUACAUCUAAAUUUGUCAAGCUUUCCCAUGAAAUGUGUGUUUUUUUCGGCGGCCGAUGUUUGCUUUGCUUCUUGGCAGUGGAAAAACGUUGAAAAAAAUUGAAAAAAUUGAUUUAUUGUCGUUUUUUACACAUUUGUGCUUUGAAAUUGCAGCUAGCAUGCCACAGCAAGAUAUUUUCGAGAAGAAACAAAUUCAGCAAGAAUCGAGGACGAUCGAUUGACAAACUAAUACAAGACGGAACUGAAUGUUAAAUCAUGACACACAAUUUUUCCUUGUUGCUGCCUGUGCGAGGCAAAACACUAUUCUUGACAUGACUUGACCCAUUUCCCCAACGCGACCUAUAUACUGGUGGAAUCUCGAUUUUUUGUUCGUCUGUUAACAAUUCCGGGGGGAUUUUUACGUAAUGAAGGGGAGCGCACAAUCACAAUAAAGUAGAACCUUUCGGAACUUCUGUAAGUUUCUGUUUGAUUUUAAACGUCUUGAUUCUGAAUAGAUAUGAGGCAUAAACAACGUAAUACAGUAAGAUACUAAAAUUGAGUGAUCAUUCAUGACAUUUAAGAAAUAAAAGAUGUUUACUGUGUUUACACAGGCUUAUGCAAAACGAGGAGAUCUUUGGGAGAACUUGAGAGCAGAUCAGUGCAAGCCCGAGACCGAAGAUCGUGGGGACGCGGAGCUAGGGGAAAAUUUAGGUCCCGGAUGAAUGUAAACAAAUAUACUUUUGCCAACUGCUUUCGAGUUUCGACAUAGGCGGCCCAGAAAGAAUCUGUUUUCGUUUUUUCAUUUUUUUCAUGCAAUCGAUUUAUGUAAAUAGUCCUAAAUAUAUUCCAUGAUUUAUGUGCAAUGUUUGUCACGCGCGUUGUCUCGCGUGACUUCCACGUAUAUAUGGUCGUAAAGGUCUUAUAUUUUGACAAUUUGUAUAAUUGAUUAUAUAUAUAUUAUAUAUUUACCAAAUGUAGGCAACUAUCAUCGCAUUUACGAAAACAUGCCUUUACAUAAAGUAUUAAUACGUAAAAAACAAACAAGAAAUCCAAAUAAUAAUUAUAUCACCAAAAAUAGGAUAAUUUUUCUUCAUUAAUCCAUACCUAGCUUUGAAAAAAGACCACAAAAAUCCCGAUAAAUAUGCGUGAACUUUUUAAA